rnacentral:rRNA from 1 species
UACGGAGGGUGCUAGCGUUGUCCGAAGUUACUGGGCGUAAAGCGCGCGUAGGCGGGUUGGUAAGUCCGCUGUGAAAGCCCGGAGCUUAACUCCGGAGGGUCGGUGGAUACUGCCAGUCUUGAAGGUGCUAGGGGGAGAUGGAAUUACCGGUGUAGCGGUGAAAUGCGUAGAUAUCGGUAGGAACACCAGUGGCGAAGGCGGUCUCCUGGGGCAUUCUUGACGCUGAGGCGCGAAAGCUGGGGGAGCAAACGGG